rnacentral:rRNA from 1 species
CGGGGUGCAGCAGGCGCGAAAACUUUGCAAUGCGGGAAACCGUGACAAGGGAACUCUGAGUGCCCGUUAAAUCGGGCUGUCCAUCGGUUUAAACAACCGGUGAAGAAAGGGCCGGGCAAGACCGGUGCCAGCCGCCGCGGUAAUACCGGCGGCUCGAGUGGUGGCCACUAUUACUGGGCUUAAAGCGUUCGUAGCUGGUUUGUUAAGUCUCUGGGGAAAUCUUCCGGCUCAACCGGAAGGCGUCUCAGGGAUACUGGCAGACUAGGGACCGGGAGAGGUGAGAGGUACUCCAGGGGUAGGAGUGAAAUCCUGUAAUCCUUGGGGGACCACCUGUGGCGAAGGCGUCUCACCAGAACGGCUCCGACAGUGAGGGACGAAAGCUGGGGGAGCAAACCGGAUUAGAUACCCGGGUAGUCCCAGCUGUAAACGAUGCGCGUUAGGUGUAUCGGUGACCACGAGUCACCGAGGUGCCGAAGAGAAAUCGUGAAACGUGCCGCCUGGGAAGUACGGUCGCAAGGCUGAAACUUAAAGGAAUUGGCGGGGGAGCACAAGGGCGAAUCGCG